rnacentral:snRNA from 1 species
AUGCUCACUUUGGCAGCACAUAGGCUAAAAUUGUAACAAUACAGAGGAGAUGAGCAGGGCCCCAGCACAAGGAUGACAGCCAAAUUUGUGAAAUGUUCCUUAAUUUU